rnacentral:rRNA from 1 species
CAGUCGCCACGGGAAUACGUAGGGUGCAAGCGUUAAUCGGAAUUACUGGGCGUAAAGCGUGCGCAGGCGGUCCGCUAAGACAGAUGUGAAAUCCCCGGGCUUAACCUGGGAACUGCAUUUGUGACUGGCGGGUUAGAGUAUGGCAGAGGGGGGUAGAAUUCCACGUGUAGCAGUGAAAUGCGUAGAGAUGUGGAGGAAUACCGAUGGCGAAGGCAGCCCCCUGGGCCAAUACUGACGCUCAUGCACGAAAGCGUGGGGAGCAAACAGGAUUAGAUACCCCUGUAGUCCAUGUCUCUUAUAC